rnacentral:rRNA from 1 species
UACGUAGGGUGCAAGCGUUAAUCGGAAUUACUGGGCGUAAAGCGUGCGCAGGCGGUUUUGUAAGUCUGUCGUGAAAGCCCCGGGCUUAACCUGGGAAUUGCUUUUAAGACUGUCGGGCUAGAAUCCAGAAGAGGGUAGUGGAAUUCCGAGUGUAGAGGUGAAAUUCGUAGAUAUUCGGAAGAACACCAGUGGCGAAGGCGACUACCUGGUCUGGCAUUGACGCUCAUGUGCGAAAGCGUGGGGAGCAAACAGG